UACAGAGGUCCCAAGCGUUGUUCGGAUUCACUGGGCGUAAAGGGUGCGUAGGUGGCGUGGUAAGUUUGAUGUGAAAGCUCAGGGCUCAACCCUGAAAUGGCAUUGAAUACUACUAUGCUGGAGGUUUGGAGGGGGGACUGGAAUUCUUGGUGUAGCAGUGAAAUGCGUAGAUAUCAAGAGGAACACCGGUGGCGAAGGCGAGUCCCUGGACAACACCUGACUCUGAGCCACGAAAGCCGGGGGAGCAAACAGG
rnacentral:rRNA from 1 species